CUCUGGGACAGCAAAUAACUGUAGUGGCACCCCACACUCUUGAAAGCAUUAUCCGACAGCCCCCUGACUGAUGGAUGACCAACGCUUGUAUGACACAUUAUCUUAGACUUUUGAACUGAACGAGUGACCUUCUCUCCCCCUGUUGUCCUCAAUCCCACUACCCUACUGCCCGAGACUGAUGACUCUUCACCUACUCAUAACUGCGCUGACAUUCUGGCAGAAGAAACUGGUAAGCAAAAUGAUCUGAAGGAUCAUCCUUGGCCUGGGAGUCUGAGCUGGUACACGGAUGGCAGUAGCUUCAUGAUUGAAGGUAAGUGGAAGGCAGGGGCAGCAGUGCAGUGGUGGACAGAAAGUAAGUGAUCUAGGCCAGCAGCCUCCCUGAAGGGACGUCGGCCCAGAAAGCCGAACUUGUGGCUUUGAUACAAGCUCUACGAAUGGUAAAGGGGAAGUCUAUCAACAUUUACACUGACAGCAUGUAUGCUUUUGCCACUUCACAGAGAAAUAUACAGACUAAGAGGGCUGUUGACAUCUGCAGAGAAAGACCUAAGGUGCUGUGGCUAAAGGGAAUCAGAUGGCAGCCCUAACGGCCAAACAGGCAGCCCAAGGAACAAUGAUCCUGGCAGUCAAGGAACCUAAAGAUUGUUAUGAUGUCAGAGAGACUAGCUUUAGAUACACCCCUGAAGACUACAAAGUUAUGGACAAAUUAGGACUGGUAAAGGAAACCCCAUAUGGGGUAGUAGAAACAGAAGAAAGAAAACUAGUUCUCCCACGGGAAGAAGGACACAAGUAUGUUACCAACUUACAUUACUUGACCCACUUGGGGGCCAAGAAAUUAAAAGGUGUGGUUAGGUCAUCUGACUACUAUGUUAUAAGAUUCUCUGACUUGGCAGAAGAAAUAGUCAAAAGCUGCAAGGCUUGUGCUAUGACUAAUGCAGGACACUCCAUGUAUACUCCUGGGAAGAGGCUCAGGGGCAACUGUCUUGGACCCUACUGGGAGGUAGAUUUUACAGAAUCUAAGCCAGCUAGAAAUGGCAACAAGUACUUAUUAGUUUUUAUAUAUACCUUUUCAGGCUAGGUAGAAGCUUUUCCUACCAGGUCUGAGAUGGCCAAUGUGAUGGCCAAGAAGAUCCUAGAAGAAAUCUUCCUGAGGUUUGGGAUACACAAGGUAAUCGGGUCUGAUAAUGGACCUGCCUUUGUUGCCCAGGUAAGUCAGGGACUGGCCAAAAUAUUGGGGAUUGAUUAGAAGUUACAUUGUGCAGACAGGCCCCAAAGUUCAGGAUAGGUAGAGAGGAUGAAUAGAACCAAUAAAGAGAACUUUACCAAAUUGGCAGCAUAGACUGGUGCUAAUGAUUAGAUAGCUCUCCUACCCUUUGUGCUCUUCAGGGUUAGAAACACCCCUGGACAAUUUAGACUGACCCCCUAUGAAUUACUCUGGGGGGGCCCUCCACUGGUAAAAAUAGCCUCUGUACAUAGUGCUGACAUGCUGCUUUCCCAGCCUUUGUUCUCUAGGCUCAAGGCACUCAAGUGGGUGACACAGCGAGCAUAGAAGCAGCUCCAGAAGGCCUACUCAAGAGAAGGAGACCUGCAAGCACCACAUUGCUUCCAAGUUAGAGAUUUGGUCUACAUUAGACACCACCAUGCAGAAAACCUUGAGACUGGAUGACUGAAAAACUGAGGACAUGACCCCUUCCAAGUUAUGGUUGGGGAGAAGGGGUAUUAUAAAUAUGAAGGAGUGCACAGUCAGUGGCACCUGGAAGAAUCCAGACUGAACUAGACCAUGAGGAAAUGCAGGAAUAAAGAGCGGCAGAGAUUGAAAGAAAAGCCAUCCAGAGACUGCCCUACCUAGGGAUCCAUGCCAUCUGCUGACACCAAACCCAGACGUUAUUGCUGAUUUCAAGAAGCGCUUACUGACAGAAGCCUGGUACAGCUGUCCCCUGAGAGGCUCUGCCAGAGCCAGACCAAUACAGAUUCGGAUGCAC